CUCUAAUCAGUGAAACUGAUCUUCCCGUGAAGAAGCGGGAAUAUAUAUAUAAGACGAGAAGACCCCAUGGAGCUUUAAACCCAACAGCACCUAUUCUUUUUAAACCCACCCAUUCAUAUAGUAAAUGCUUGUUUGUUUUAGGUUGGGGUGACCGCGGAGUAAAAAUUAACCUCCACGAAAAAGGGCAUAAAAGCCUUAUCAAAGAAUUACACUUCUAUGAAUUAGUAAACUAAUUUUUGAUGAUCCGAUAUUCGAUCAACGAACCAAGUUACCCUGGGGAUAACAGCGCAAUCCACCUCAAGAGCUCCUAUCGACAAGUGGGUUUACGACCUCGAUGUUGGAUCAGGGUACCCCAGUGGUGCAGCAGCUACUAAAGGUUCGUUUGUUCAACGAUUAAAACCCU
rnacentral:rRNA from 1 species